rnacentral:lncRNA from 1 species
GUGAAACAACAAAUCAUAGACACAAUUAAAAUUUCACCCAAAAGAAUGACAAUAAUGAGACGUCAUACCAAAAUAUGUGGGAUGCAGCCAAGGUAGUAAUAAGGGGAAAUUUUAUAUCUUUAGAAGCUUACUUGCAUAAAAUAGAGAAAGAGAAAAUCAAUGAAUUAGGCUUAUAACUAAAAAAGCUAGAAAAAGAGCAAAUUAACCCCCUCCAAUCAAACACUAAACUUGAAAUUCUAAAAAUAAAAGGAGAGAUCAAUAAAAUUGAAAGUAAAAAAAAACUAUUGAAUUAAUAAAUAAAACUAAGAGUUGGUUUUAUGAAAAAAAAUUAAAAAAUAAAAUGGUAAAUUUGAUUAGAGAAAGAAGAUUGGGUCAUCUCUGGUACCAACCUCUUCAGUAUGGAUUUUGCUUGUUUCCCUGAUGUUAUCAUAUCAUAUAUCAUUUUUCCUUUGCAUGACACAUGAGGGACUGAAGAGUUCAAGGUCCAAAUGUGGCUGGUUAUCCUCUGCUUCUGGUUAUGAAAAUAGAAACAUUGAAAAACUGGUUCUAAUUUUACAGCCAUCCUCCUGACAAUUUCAGGUGAAUGGAGUGGAGCCUCCAGCAAGUUGUGGGUUAGAAGCUGCUCCAGAAUCUGAAAUGCUGGAUGCUGGAAGCAUGCCAGAGUCUGGGUUCCAGAGACAUUCCAGGCCCAGGGCCAGUGGUAGCUGAAGCAUGGCUUGAUCCAGCAAUCAUCCAUCUAUCUGAGCAUAAACUGGCCGGAGGACUUAUUUCGCUUGUUACAGUACUGAAGAAUCUGAGAGUGAGAAGAGGAAAGGAUGGCCAAGAAAGGAUGGUCCAGAAAGAGGAAAGGAUUCCUUUCCCAGUCCAUAGGGGAAAGGAAUCCCUGCUCUAAUAUUCCCAGCACUUCGUUCUCCAGCCUCUGCUUGCAGUCCUUCAAGAAGCGAGACCCCCAUCACCUCUUGCUGUGGUCCACUGGACUCUUGGACAGUGCUCACGAUGAGAAAGCUUUUCCUGGGGAUGAGCCCAAAUUUGUCUGCAGUGAGGACUGGUUCUGCUCUCUGGGUCAACGUGAACAGAUUAAGGGGCUCCUCCUCCAUCCCACGGGCUUUCAGUUCUUGAAGACAAGCGGGCGCUUCCCCGCUAAACCUUUUCUCUCUCCUAGACCGUCCCGCUCCAGCUCAUCCUAAUGUCUUGG